ensembl:snRNA Rnu6-95 RNA, U6 small nuclear 95
GUGCUCACUUCGGCAGCAUAUAUACUAAAAUUGGAACGAUACAGAGAAGAUUAGCAUGGCCCCUGCACAAGGAUGACACCCAAAUUCGUGAAGCAUUCCAUAUUUUC